UACAGAGGUCUCAAGCGUUGUUCGGAUUCAUUGGGCGUAAAGGGUGCGUAGGCGGCGCGGUAAGUCGGGUGUGAAAUCUUGGAGCUUAACUCCGAAACUGCAUUCGAUACUGCCGUGCUUGAGGACUGGAGAGGAGACUGGGAUUUACGGUGUAGCGGUGAAAUGCGUAGAUAUCGUAAGGAAGACCAGUGGCGAAGGCGGGUCUCUGGACAGUUCCUGACGCUGAGGCACGAAGGUCAGGGGAGCAAACGGG
rnacentral:rRNA from 1 species